rnacentral:SRP_RNA from 1 species
GGGCGUGGUGGCGCGUGCCUGUAGUCCCAGCUACUCAGGACUGAAGUGGGAGGAUCGCUUGAGCCUGGGAGUUCUGGGCUGUAGUGCGCUAUGCCGUUUGGGUGUCCACACUAAGUUCGGCAUCAAUAUGGUGACCUCCCGGGAGCGAGGGACCACCAGGUUGCCUAAGGAGGGGUGAACUGGCCCAGGUCGGAAACGGAGCAGGUCAAAACUCCCGUGCUGAUCAGUAACGGGAUCGCGCCUGUGAAUAGCCACUGCACUCCAGCCUGGGCAACAUAGUGAGACCCCGUCUCU